GUCCUGGUUUUCCGAAUGGCAGUAUGUAAUGCUAACCACUCGACUACCGUGGCUUUUGGAAUGAGUAUGCAAUAGAAAAGUAAAGUCCUCUGCCCACGAAGGAAGACCAAACUCUACAAGUCUCCCACCGUUACCGUCCACCUAUAUGAUGCGGAGGCAUGGACGAUGACAACAUUUAAUGAGUCGAGAGAAUGGUUUUGGGUAAGAUUUAUGAUCCUCUAUGGUUUCGGAACGGAACAAUACCGCAGUCGAUGGAACGGGGAGCUGUACGAGAUACACGGCGACCUUGACAUAGCUCAGCGCAUCAAGAAACAGCGGCUACGCUGGUUAGGUCAUGCGGUCCGGAUGGAUAAAAAUACUCCAGCUUUGAAAGUUUUCGAUGCAAUAAUCGUCGGGGUAGUGAGGAAGUUGAAGGAUGCCGCUCCGCCGGAAAGAGAUGAUUGCCGAUACUCACCUCAGUUGGCUAUCAACUAAAUCUGUCUAUAUGGAUUUCGAGACUCAGUUGCGUCCAAGUCAAAAAGGUCUUCAUCUUCAAAAGAAGCAAACUUCUCUCCACUGAUUAAGGGCACGUGAUCUCCUCAUCUUAAGAUGAAAUGUACGCCGAAUACUCAAAAGUCAUUUCGUGUAAAUAUUUUAGCAAUUUGAAAUGAAAAUUUGCAUGUGAACUUGUACAAGAAAAUAUCAAAGGAUAACCAGGAAACUUUUAUUAUAUGAGAUAAUUGCUGGCGUCGAUUUCAGAAUUAAAGGAUCAUGGCGUCUGAACGUAAGGAAAAAUUAUAAUGGGAUUAAUUAUUUGGUUGGUAUUUAAAUGUAAUCAUCAGUAGAUUAUUCAUGCACAAAUACGUA